rnacentral:rRNA from 1 species
AUUGAACGCUGGCGGAAUGCUUUAUACAUGCAAGUCGAGCGGCAGCGCGGGGCAACCUGGCGGCGAGCGGCGAACGGGUGAGUAAUACAUCGGAACGUGCCCAGACGUGGGGGAUAACUACUCGAAAGAGUAGCUAAUACCGCAUAUGAUCUAAGGAUGAAAGCGGGGGAUCGCAAGACCUCGCGCGUUUGGAGCGGCCGGUGGCAGAUUAGGUAGUUGGUGGGGUAAAGGCUUACCAAGCCUGCGAUCUGUAGCUGGUCUGAGAGGACGACCAGCCACACUGGGACUGAGACACGGCCCAGACUCCUACGGGAGGCAGCAGUGGGGAAUUUUGGACAAUGGGCGAAAGCCUGAUCCAGCCAUUCCGCGUGCAGGAUGAAGGCCCUCGGGUUGUAAACUGCUUUUGUACAGAACGAAAAAGCUCUGGUUAAUACCUGGAGUCCAUGACGGUACUGUAAGAAUAAGCACCGGCUAACUACGUGCCAGCAGCCGCGGUAAAAC